rnacentral:rRNA from 1 species
AUUGAACGCUGGCGGCAGGCCUAACACAUGCAAGUCGAACGGUAACAGGAAGAAGCUUGCUUCUUUGCUGACGAGUGGCGGACGGGUGAGUAAUGUCUGGGAAACUGCCUGAUGGAGGGGGAUAACUACUGGAAACGGUAGCUAAUACCGCAUAACGUCGCAAGACCAAAGAGGGGGACCUUCGGGCCUCUUGCCAUCGGAUGUGCCCAGAUGGGAUUAGCUAGUAGGUGGGGUAACGGCUCACCUAGGCGACGAUCCCUAGCUGGUCUGAGAGGAUGACCAGCCACACUGGAACUGAGACACGGUCCAGACUCCUACGGGAGGCAGCAGUGGGGAAUAUUGCACAAUGGGCUCAAGCCUGAUGCAGCCAUGCCGCGUGUAUGAAGAAGGCCUUCGGGUUGUAAAGUACUUUCAGCGGGGAGGAAGGGAGUAAAGUUAAUACCUUUGCUCAUUGACGUUACCCGCAGAAGAAGCACCGGCUAACUCCGUG